CGGCCUUGGCGUGAUAGAGGAUAUCAUCGGUCCGCUCCAGCCAGACCCGUAGACUCUCCCCCGGUUCCAUCUGGGCCAGGCCGA
rnacentral:tRNA from 1 species